rnacentral:tRNA from 1 species
GGCUUUAUAGUCAAAUUAUGAUAUUAAAUUGCAAGUUUAAAGUUGUAAGUAAUUACUAAAGCUU